UGACCGCUGGCGGCAGGCCUAACACAUGCAAGUCGAACGGUAACAGGCAGCAGCUUGCUGCUUUGCUGACGAGUGGCGGACGGGUGAGUAAUGUCUGGGAAACUGCCCGAUGGAGGGGGAUAACUACUGGAAACGGUAGCUAAUACCGCAUAACGUCGCAAGACCAAAGAGGGGGACCUUAGGGCCUCUUUCCAUCGGAUGUGCCCAGAUGGGAUUAGCUAGUAGGUGGGGUAACGGCUCACCUAGGCGACGAUCCCUAGCUGGUCUGAGAGGAUGACCAGCCACACUGGAACUGAGACACGGUCCAGACUCCUACGGGAGGCAGCAGUGGGGAAUAUUGCACAAUGGGCGCAAGCCUGAUGCAGCCAUGCCGCGUGUAUGAAGAAGGCCUUCGGGUUGUAAAGUACUUUCAGCGGGGAGGAAGGGAGUAAAGUUAAUACCUUUGCUCAUUGACGUUACCCGCAGAAGAAGCACCGGCUAACUCCGUG
rnacentral:rRNA from 1 species